rnacentral:rRNA from 1 species
GACGAACGCUGGCGGCGUGCCUAAUACAUGCAAGUAGGACGCAGUUGUGAACGGGUGAGUAACGCGUAGGUAACUACCUAUUAGAGGGGGAGAACUAUUGGAAACGAUAGCUAAUACCGCAUACUAGUAGAUGGAACUGCGUUGUAUUAGCGAGUAGGUAGGGUAAUGGCCUACCUAGGCAACGAUACAUAGACGACCUGGGAGGGUUAUCGGCCCCACCUGGACUUGAACACGGCCCAGGCUCCUUCGGGAGGCCGCAGUUGGGAAUCUUCGGCAAUUGGGGGAACCCUGGCCGAGCAACGCCGCGUGAGUGAAGAAGGUUUUCGGAUCGUAAAGCUCUGUUGUUCAGGAAGCGUUACUUAACCAGAAAGGGACGGCUAACUACGUGCCAGCAGCCGCGGUAAUAC